GAAACAAACAAUUCAUUAGCAUUUAAGCGUUUAAUUAGAACUGGUUUAAUCAAUACAAUACUAAAAGUUGAAUAAGAUCAACAAAGAGGGUGUCCACGUCAGAUCAAAAAAUCAGCCAAUCAGGAAGUAGUAUACCGCCACGUCAUGCUGCAGUCAAACAUAAUCAUAUCGGUCCUAUUUAUUUGGGCUUAUAAUAAUCUUCCGAUACAGUUCAUCUCUCCUCCAAAAAAGAAAGCAAUCGUUCUCCGACUUUUGCACUUCUCCAUUAUCGUUCCAAAUCUCUAAAAUUUCACCGUUUCUGACUCAUUCAUUCAAUUCCCUGUGUCAUCCUUCCACCUCCGUUUGUUUCUCUUCCUAUAUAAAUCCUUUGGUCGUAAUCUUUCGUCCAACAAAAAAUCUACAACCUCCAUAGAAGAACAUCAAGCUAUGGCCAUGAAAGCUAUUAAAUCCUUCAGAAAGUUUUCCGUUUGGGCUCCUCCGUCUAUAGAUCCUUCUGAUCGGGUGUGUCCUAUCCUUUUUUAUAUCUUUAGGUUUCAGUUCUAUGGAGAUAUUUAUUUGAUAAUAAUCAUCGAUCAUUGUAGAAUUGUGAGAUUUUAAUAUGUAUUGACUGGAAUCAGAGAUGUUUUUCCACGGAGAAACUCUCAGGAAAGUUUAAGAGUUAUUGGAUUGAACCAUUUUGAUUCAAAACGAAAUUCAACUAAACCUCAAUACUUUUAUAAAUGUUUCUCCGAUAAAUAAAAGAGGAGGUGGAAGACAAGAUUAAGAAGCUUGAGGUUGAGAUAUAUGCAAAUACAAAAACAAGACCUGGUACUUCUCUAGAAGCUGUCGAAGCCCGUGUGAUGAGGGUUCUGAAGCAGAACAAAAUAUAAAUGGAGAUUUGAAAGCGGUUUCUAAAUUAGUUGAGCUACCUAUUCUGUGUGUUCUUGAGUUAAGUUGUGGACUUUUUCAUCUCUGAAUUUUCAACAUCCUUGAGCUGGUUAGGUUUAGAUUCUUUUUCUUUAAAGUUUAGGAUUUCUUCCAUCUUUUAAUCUUCAUCUUUUUGUAGGUCUUUCAAUUCGGUGGCCUGAAAUUCUAACGGGAAAAGCUUGCUUCUGGCUCUGUUGAUCAAAUGGGUCAUAUUUGGAAAAUCAAACCUCACACUUAGAUUUUCCUUCUGAUGCUUUGUAUAACUAUAUUUUCCAAGGACAGAGAUGCAAUAGGCACAUAGAUUGAGGUGAAAGAAGUUGGUGUGGCAAAGUGAUGCAGAAUGGUGAAAUAAACUACCAUUAUGAAACUGAGAAUCACACUUUACAAAGUAGAAAUAAAAUCUUCUACUCACAGGCUUCGAUUCUCAUCAUGUUACAGUAGGAACUUUUAUUCCAGCGGAGUCUAUGAGUUAUGAUCAGUGUUUACAUGCUGGAAAUGAAAAAAAGUAUGGACUCCAGAGGUAUGUCUAUGAAGUUUCCUUCCGCUUCCACAGUUGGCAUCUACAGAUAAAAAAGGGAAGAAGCAGAAGGCCAAAAGUUCCUAGAAUCCCAGAUUAUCAGCUACAUCCUCAAAUGUUCACAGUCUAGCUGAUUCCUACAAUGAGAAAUGUCAGAGCUUAAUUAUUCCCAUGACAGAUUCAGUUUCUAUGUCCUGAGCGAUGAAUCAGGUGGAGUUGAAUAUUGAGUUUAUGCAAAUGAAGAUAGAGAUGAAGCUGCUUUCUUUCCAAACGAUCAACAGUCGAUAGAAACGUUUCUUCAGCGAAACAAGACUGCUCCGUAUACAAAAUUCUAUCAGAGCAUCAUAGGCAAAGCUCUUGGAAUAAAAAAAAAAGAAAAGCUGAGACAGGUGUGGGAAUAAUUAUAAUAAAGUUUGUGGUUUUUCAACUCAGUUUGUAAGGUUGGAGAGACCGUAGCGGUUAGAAUUCUCAAAUUUUGUAAAUUAUUUUUGUUCCAUGAAUUAUUCUCGAAAUCAUACAAAACAUUUAUGAAAUGGGUUUCAUGAGAUUAAAGUUA